GUUCUGAGGCUCGCUGUCCCUAUUUCUUAAAUUUAUACAAACAAACCAGCGAAGAAUAACAAAUUGAUAAACGGAACGUAAGUUUUAGGCUUUCUCCUUUCUCCUUGUUUAACAAAAUCGAUUUAAAGGACUGUGUCACCGCGUGCGCAUCCUACGUGUUUCUAACACUAAGUAAUGAUAAAUUAUUGUUAAUAUUUUUAAAAUUCUUUGUGCGUUUUUUCCUUCUUUUAUUUCAAAUAGAAGUAUAGUUAGGAUAAAUUCUAGAAAAUUUAGAUGCUCAGACGGCAGGAAAUGGCAUUUUUGGGCUUGAAAUUUCAAACAUUUUCUGGGGGAGUUAAUGCCUCCAGAUCCCCCUAUUCAUUCGCAGUAUGUCGGCCACACACGUGGCCCACGGCCAUUGCUAUCCCCCUUUAAUAAUAAGUAUUGGAUAAAUUAUUGUUAAUAUUUCUUUUAUUUUAUCUUCAUUUUUCCUUCUUUUAUUUCAAAUACAAGUAUAAUUAGCAUAAAUUUUAGAGCAAAUUUAGACGCUCAUAAAGCAGGAAAUGGUAUUUGAAAGGUUCAAAUUUAAAACAUUUUCUGGGGGAGUAUGUCGGCCACACACCG